rnacentral:rRNA from 1 species
GACGAACGCUGGCGGCGUGCUUAACACAUGCAAGUCGAACGGUAAGGCCCUUCGGGGUACACGAGUGGCGAACGGGUGAGUAACACGUGGGUGAUCUGCCCUGCACUUCGGGAUAAGCCUGGGAAACUGGGUCUAAUACCGGAUAGGACCACUGCCUGCAUGGGUGGUGGUGGAAAGCUUUUGCGGUGUGGGGUGGGCCCGCGGCCUAUCAGCUUGUUGGUGGGGUGAUGGCCUACCAAGGCGACGACGGGUAGCCGGCCUGGGAGGGGGACCGGCCACACUGGGACUGGGAUACGGCCCAGACUCCUACGGGAGGCNGCAGUGGGGAAUAUUGCACAAUGGGCGCAAGCCUGAUGCAGCGACGCCGCGUGAGGGAUGACGGCCUUCGGGUUGUAAACCUCUUUCAGCACCGACGAAGCGCAAGUGACGGUAGGUGCAGAAGAAGGACCGGCCAACUACGUGACAGCCGCCGCCGUAA